rnacentral:rRNA from 1 species
UAGGGAAUAUUGCGCAAUGGGGGAAACCCUGACGCAGCAACGCCGCGUGGAGGAUGACACUUUUCGGAGCGUAAACUCCUUUUCUUAGGGAAGAAUUCUGACGGUACCUAAGGAAUAAGCACCGGCUAACUCCGUGCCAGCAGCCGCGGUAAUACGGAGGGUGCAAGCGUUACUCGGAAUCACUGGGCGUAAAGGGCGCGUAGGCGGAUUAUCAAGUCUCUUGUGAAAUCUAAUGGCUUAACCAUUAAACUGCUUGGGAAACUGAUAGUCUAGGGUGAGGGAGAGGCAGAUGGAAUUGGUGGUGUAGGGGUAAAAUCCGUAGAGAUCACCAAGAAUACCCAUUGCGAAGGCGAUCUGCUAGAACUCAACUGACGCUAAUGCGUGAAAGCGUGGGGGAGC